AAUCCUGCAUCAAGUGCGUUGCUUGGAUUUCAAACAGCAACGCUUUGACAGCAGGAAUUU
rnacentral:pre_miRNA from 1 species